GACGAACGCUGGCGGCGUGCUUAACACAUGCAAGUCGAACGGUGAUCUUGGGAGCUUGCUCCUGGGUGAUCAGUGGCGAACGGGUGAGUAACACGUGAGUAACCUGCCCCUGACUCUGGAAUAACUUCGGGAAACCGAAGCUAAUACCGGAUAUGACACAGAGCCGCAUGGUUUCUGUGUGGAAAGUUUUUCGGUUGGGGAUGGACUCGCGGCCUAUCGGCUUGUUGGUGAGGUAAUGGCUCACCAAGGCGACGACGGGUAGCCGGCCUGAGAGGGCGACCGGCCACACUGGGACUGAGACACGGCCCAGACUCCUACGGGAGGCAGCAGUGGGGAAUAUUGCACAAUGGGCGAAAGCCUGAUGCAGCGACGCCGCGUGAGGGAUGAAGGCCUUCGGGUUGUAAACCUCUUUCAGUAGGGAAGAAGCGCAAGUGACGGUACCUACAGAAGAAGCACCGGCUAACUACGUGCCAGCCGCCGCGGUAAAAC
rnacentral:rRNA from 1 species